rnacentral:rRNA from 1 species
CGUAGUUGGAGUGGCGCAAGGUGCGUAACACGUGGGUAAUUUGCCGUGAAGCUCGGAAUAACUCGCUGAAAAGGCGAGCUAAUACCGGAUGUGUAUAUUUGGGAGGCAUCUCUAAAUCUUAAAGCUGGGGACCGUAAGGCCUGGCACUUCACGAUAAGCCCGCGGCCUAUCAGCUAGUUGGUGAGGUAACGGCUCACCAAGGCUAAGACGGGUAGCUGGUCUGAGAGGACGACCAGUCACACUGGAACUGAGACACGGUCCAGACACCUACGGGUGGCAGCAGUCGAGAAUUUUUCUCAAUGGGCGAAAGCCUGAAGGAGCGACGCCGCGUGGGGGGAUGAAGGGCUUCGGCCCGUAAACCCCUGUCAUUUGCGAACAAACCCCGAUAUUUAAAAGAUACCGGGCUGAUUGUAGCGAAAGAGGAAGGGACGGCUAACUCUGUG